rnacentral:rRNA from 1 species
CCUACGGGAGGCAGCAGUCGAGAAUCAUUCACAAUGGGCGAAACCCUGAUGGUGCGACGUCGCGUGGGGGAAUGAAGGUCUUCGGAUUGUAAACCCCUGUUAUGUGGGAGCAAAUUAAUAAGAUAGUACCACAAGAGGAAGAGACGGCUAACUCUGUGCCAGCAGCCGCGGUAAUACAGAGGUCUCAAGCGUUGUUCGGAAUCCCUGGGCUUAAAGCGUGCGGAGGAUGUUUCGUAAGGCGUGUGUGAAAGGCGCGGGCUCAACCCGCGGAUGGCACAUGAUACUGCGAGACUAGAGUAAUGGAGGGGGAAGCGGAAUGCGCGGUGUAGCAGUGAAAUGCAUAGAUAUCGAGAGGAACACUCAUGGCGAAGGCAGGUUCCUGGACAUUAACUGACGCUGAGGCACGAAGGCCAGGGGAGCGAAAGGGAUUAGAUACCCCAGUAGUC